CAUUUUUCAUCUUCUGACAUUAGCUACAAUCUUAUCGUCCAAAUCGGCACAUUAUUUGAGUGGCAUCCUCUCUACUUCAUGGUCAACUUUAUUCAUAACUCUAGGAUAACUUUUUAUGUUACAAACGAACUUUUAAAAGUGCUUAUUUUCACAAAUCACAAUUCUAGAUGAUCACCAUUCUGGCGAGUAAUAUUAACAGCAUUGCUCAGGUCGCUUCGCAUGCCUAUAUUAAAAAUGAAAGAAAUUUAUAUAUUUUACUUUCUUCUCCCGCGUAAUAAAUCAGUUACACUAACUCACAUUAUAACCUCAAGACGCUACAUGUGGUCCCCAUACAGCGCUGUUCGAUUUUAAAUUGUUUUGAUAAAAAAUAUCGAUUCAUGUUUAUGGCAAAAAAGGUUGGGAAAAAAGCUUUAGAUAGUAAUUAACAACGGUUUGUAAACACAAUCUGACUAUUUAAACGUUUUCAUGAUUCCAAUAAGAGUGUUUAUUAAAUAUUCAUGAAAUAUGUCAAACAAAAUAUCUUUAAAAAUACCCAUUACGUUAAUGUUAAUAAUAAACCUUUCUUAAUUUAGAGGAGUUUCCAAUACGUUUCUGUUGUGCAAUGAGGUUUACGUAGUCAACUAUUUUAAGGCUUAACUAUUAAUGUUUUUGUACGUCGAGUUUACCUAUUAUACAUGUAUGUUUAUUUUAAUGUGUUAUGUAAUUGAAACUGUGAUAAUUAGGUUGACUUCGAAAACUAGGUGUGAAAUUCUUUCAUAAUUGUAUAAUGGGACCGAAAUUUGACUGAAAAAUAGGAGGUAUUCGGAUAAUGCAUUUCGAAUAAUAAGUUCGUAUUUAUAUUGAUUUAGAUAGAGAUAAAACGAGACCGCCGACAUUCUUCAGAUAAUGAAUAACCGGAGUCGGACUGUAAAUGGUAAAUUUGCGUGAAAAAUUUAGUGUCAGAUUGACAGGGAAUGCACAGUGCGUGGCUAUUAGGAGUUAAAAUGAUAAACUGAGGAAGUGAAACGUAAUAGAUAUGAAAACAGAAAAUGUGAAUGUUAAUCAUAUAGACGUUUUCCAAGUUGUUACAAGCAUUUUAGCUUUUAUUUCUCUUAUACUUCUCUUGUUGGUGGUUUUAAUUUGUUAUUUCAUUUCACUAGAAUCAUCGUAUUCAAAAACUGGAUUUUAUGAUAAAGUUCUGGACCAAUAUUCAAUUCCUUGUGUAAAUGUUUCGUUGAGUCCGGACGAAGACUUUAGCCUUUUCACCAUUGACAAACAUAAGGUCGUGACUUUUAAAGAGAAACACAGUUAUUUUUGCAAAUUCGUCAACCUUACAGAUUUGAUUCCAAAGUUUGUUGAUCGAAUUGGAAGACAAAGGCUUGCUACAGG